CUCCCAUGGUGUUUGUUUUUUUUUAUUCUGGAACUCUCAGAACAGUCAUAUAUUGAAUUUGAUUGUUGUGUGUCUUCUCGAUUCUCUGACAUCAUCAGCUUCAGGAGAACAGAAGCUAGGAAGAUCCAUCUGUGUAUCUCCAAACAAAUAGUGCAGUGUCAGCUACAGAGAAAAUUUCUACAGAGAAUUCAAAGAGUAUAAGUACAAUUAUUAUUCUCAUUUAACAAACAUGGAAGCCAAAACACAGAGGGAUGAAGCAUCGCUGAUCUCAGGAAGCCAUGUACCACUGACAAGUCACUGCCAAGCAUCCUCACCACACUACCUCAGCGUGCCUCUGUUCAGUGUCUGGACAUCUGGGAACAAUAGAAGCUUGACGACUUUGGACUGCAUUGCCUGGGUUCCAGUGGGAAGCAGCAGUAUAAAGCGGGGGACAGAUAAAGAGUGUGAGGCAUUUCUUCUCCAUUCCUGCCAGCUUGGAGGCUGCCUUGCUGUUGGCAGCUGUGCCCUUGCAUGACUACAGCUCCUACAGGGUGGCCCUUCCUCCUUGGUCCCAGGAACACCCUUUCCUGCACUUGUCCCUUCUGCCCAAGGGUUGCUAAUGGCUUCUUUCUGUUGCCUGCCUUUGGCUGCUCCAACAUCUCUUGUUCCUUCCUUUAACUUUGUCUAUACUUCUGGAAGUGACUUUUUUAUUAAAGUCUCUUCAUGCAAACCAUCUGUGGGGAAUUCUAUUUUCUUCCAGGACUUUG